rnacentral:lncRNA from 1 species
AGAACUGGAACUACCUGACUUGUGACAAUGGGAAGUAAAACCUUGCCGGAACGUCGUCAAAAUAAUGGUUUUUUGAAAAACCAAAAUUAUUCAACGCAGAGUCAAACCCGGAAAACCACAGAAAGCAUAGUGUUACUUUUUGCAAACCAAACGGUAUGCCGUUUUUGUGAAAACAUAUGUCUACCGAGAAAUAAUAUUAAUCAGCUGCGUUUAAAAGCAGUACCCAGCUAUUACCAGUAAUGUGGUCAUAAAGCAAAGUAUUUAUGUAAAACACAGACGUUUAUUUUAACAUUAAUGUAAAUUGUGAAAAAUUUUAUCAAUGCUUAUCAUUUGUAGCUAUUUGACUAUAACGUCUAAUACAUACUUUAAAAAUUAAAAUUGUGUGUUCAUUCAUGACUAUUUUUUAAGUCAGUUUUACUCUGUAGUCUAUAAUAGAUUAUUAUAGUUGAUGGUAUAUGGUUACUCGUCACUCCGCAAAAGUGUCCAGAUCUGAAUAUCUACAAUAAAAAUAUCACAAGGAAAAAUUCCUGUACUGGCUGUAUACCAUAAA